rnacentral:rRNA from 1 species
UACAGGGGGUGCAAACGUUGCUCGGAAUCAUUGGGCGUAAAGCGCACGUAGGCGGUCUGUUAUGUCGGAUGUGAAAGCCCUUGGCUCAACUGAGGAAGUGCAUCCGAAACUGGCAGGCUAGAGUACGAAAGAGGAUCGCGGAAUUCCCGGUGUAGAGGUGAAAUUCGUAGAUAUCGGGAGGAACACCGGUGGCGAAGGCGGCGUCCUGGACCAACACUGACACUGAUGAGCGAAAGCCAGGGGAGCAAACGGG